rnacentral:rRNA from 1 species
UACGGGGGGGGCAAGCGUUGUUCGGAAUUACUGGGCGUAAAGGGCUCGUAGGUGGCCAACUAAGUCAGACGUGAAAUCCCCAGGCUCAACUUGGGAACUGCGUCUGAUACUGGAUGGCUUGAAUUCGGGAGAGGGAUGCAGAAUUCCAGGUGUAGCGGUGAAAUGCGUAGGUAUCUGGAGGAACACCGGUGGCGAAGGCGGCAUCCUGGACCGGCAUUGACGCUGAGGAGCGAAAGCCAGGGGAGCAAACGGG